rfam:Gossypium arboreum cultivar AKA8401 contig_21758_3, whole genome shotgun sequence.
AAUAGUUUUAUACUACAUCAGUAUUCUUAUCCUGAAUUUCAGGAUUUUAUCCUGAAAAAAAUUAAAUCCAAAUUAAAAUACUGAAAUUCAGGAUAAGAAUACUGAUGUGGCAUAAAACUAUU